UACGGAGGGUGCGAGCGUUGUUCGGAAUUAUUGGGCGUAAAGCGCGUGUAGGCGGUUUUUUAAGUCUGAUGUGAAAGCCCUGGGCUCAACCCGGGAAGUGCAUUGGAAACUGGGAGACUUGAAUACGGGAGAGGGCAGUGGAAUUCCUGGUGUAGGAGUGAAAUCCGUAGAUAUCAGGAGGAACACCGGUGGCGAAGGCGGCUGCCUGGACCGAUAUUGACGCUGAGACGCGAAAGCGUGGGGAGCAAACAGG
rnacentral:rRNA from 3 species